UACGUAGGGUGCAAGCGUUGUCCGGAAUUAUUGGGCGUAAAGAGCUCGUAGGCGGUUUGUCGCGUCUGCUGUGAAAACUCGGGGCUUAACUCCGGGCCUGCAGUGGGUACGGGCAGACUAGAGUGCGGUAGGGGAGAAUGGAAUUCCUGGUGUAGCGGUGAAAUGCGCAGAUAUCAGGAGGAACACCGGUGGCGAAGGCGGUUCUCUGGGCCUUACCUGACACUGAGGAGCGAAAGCGUGGGGAGCGAACAGG
rnacentral:rRNA from 1 species